rnacentral:sRNA from 1 species
GUCUAUAAAAAAAGUAUCGCGAAAUUUGUAUUUGUAUUUCUGGUAUAUUGCGAACAUUUCUUUAUUAAGGCAAAAUCUGACAAUAGUCAGUCGUGUCAAGCUUGUUCAAGGAAAAAUUGAAGACGAAGCAAUAUAGCUUUUCCUGUCAAAAUUCGGUAUGCGCCAUCGCACUUAAUUUCUUUCUUAUAAUAAAACUCGAUCCAGAUUCUUGAUACAUUUUUUGGAAUUUUGAAGAAUUUUUUGAAGUCAAGCCAAAAGCGUUUAAAAACGACCUUGACUUGCAUAUGUAAGAGAUAACGCAACCAAAAUCGAAUACAGUUCUCCUUAAAUCAAAGAAAUUUACGCAUAAUAAUCUCCUAAGGACAGUUGCAGCUGGAGUACAAAAAGAAAAUAUUAAGAAAUGUAGUCCAAGCAGAGUGAGAAAAAGCCCUCAUACUGUGGUAACAAAAGGUAUACAUCACAUAAUAUAUAUGAAUAUACAGUUGCAGACAAAAUAAUAGCAGCACAGCAAAAUGCAAAAAUUUAUUGAUUGUAUUCCAUAACGCCGACUUCCUUGCAAUCCGACUGCAUUAUUUAUCUUUGUUCUACGUCAGUACAAAACUAAAUAAGGAAUAAUAUUGGUACAUUUAUUGAACGUGUUGGAGUUAUUAUGACUAUUUUAAAAAAGUCGUCACAUUAAGGCUGUUAAUAUAAUAGCAGUGGGCUAUGGAAUUAGAAAAAUACCGUUAAAAUUUCAACAUUUUCAAUCUUAAUUUUAAUUAAAACAGUUAGAGAUUAAUUUUUGGUUAA